UCGGGACCGGCCCCGGCGCACCUUUUCUCCCUCCUGCUCACAUUGUGAGCGCUCCGCCGCCCACAAAACUGCCGAUUCCCGCUCCACCCCCGCCUCCCCCACUCCACCCACUCCCGGGCACCCAGGGUCUCUGAAAUGAUACUUAAAUGGGGUGAGUAUAGAAAUGUAGAAAUCAGCCAUCACAACACGUCUAAACAACUUUGAUGCGAAAACUCAAGUCCCACCUGACAGCACCAGGCUGGAAAAUAUGCUGCAGUGGAGAGUGGCCUGCAGAUGACCAGAGAGUGACCAGGAACUGACCAUCUGCUUGAAGCCCUCACUGGUGGCAAGGCUGAGCCUUGGCCUGCAAACAAGGUAAAUUGGAGGAUUUCAGGUGUUUACCCCCCACAGACCAAGGACGGAAGUUCAGAGUGAGAGCUAGAGGUAAACUUCUAGGAGAUCCAAAGCCACUCCUUUGGAGUUCCUUAGAGAAAAAAGCAACAGGAAAGAGAUAUUCUUUUAUAGCUUCAGGUUCAUUGGUGACAGAAAAAUGGGGACAGAGAAGAUAGGGAAGCAAGAGGCCCUAAACCAGGUGCCCAUCGACUGAGAAGCACACUUACCAUCACACUGGGUGCAUAGAGACGAAGAAGGUGCGCGUUCCCCCGAGCAACGUGUUGCCAUUCGGAGGACCUGCGUAUUUCCUCUGUGCCUAAGAAUCCCCUGGUGCUUGGAGACCUCCUUCCUGUCGUGUUGAUGGUCCUGUGGAAAUGGGCCCCAUAGGAAGCUUGGUUCUGCUCUGCGUGGCAUUGACUGUGCAUGUCUUUUUCCUGACCAGGUUGCUGUUCUUAGCACCUACUAAGCACCUAGAUGUCCCCAACUUAUUGAGUGCUAUCCACUGUCCUAAAUGUUGCGCCUCUGUUAUCCCAUAGAAUCCUUCCAACUUCCUUUUGAGGUAGGUAUCCGCAUUUCACAGAUGAGGAAACCAAGGCAGAGGGAAGUAAAGUAGGAAAUAACUUAAGGUCACAUAAGCCUUAGGUGACAGCCUCAGGAUUGAACCCAGGGGGUCAGACUCCUUUGAACCACAAUGCUGUACUGCCCGACACCCCAAUUCAGUCACACCACUCUCCUGCUCAGAAUUCUUGAACGGCUCCUGUGAUAAGCAGAAUAGUGGCUCCCUAAACCUGGAACCUGUGACUAUGUUACCUUACAUUGGUGGGAGGGACUUCGCAAAUGGGAUUAAAGUUAAGGAUCUUGAAAUGCAGACCUUAGCCUGGAUUAUCCAGUGGGUCCAAUCUAAUCACAAAGGUCCUUAGACGAGGGAGGCAAGAACAUGCGAGUCAGAGAAGGAGAUGUGACCAGGAAGCGGUGGUCAGAACGGUGUGAUUGCUGGCUUUAAGAUGGGAGAGGGACAAGCACCAAGGAAUGUGGGCAGCUUCUAGAAACAGGGAUAGGCAAAGAGCGGACCCUUCCCUAAAGCCUCCAGGAGGAACACAGCCCGCUGCCGCCCUGAUUCUGGCCAGGUGAAGCUUCUGACCUCCAGAACUGUCAGAUAAUACGUCUGUCUUGUUUCAUGCCACUCAGUGUUUGGUGAUGUGUUACAGCAGCAGUAGGAAACUAAUACAGCUUCCAUUGCUUAAAGGGAAAUCUGAACUGCUUUGCAAGGCGUUCAAGGGCCUCACGUUAUCUUCCCCCUGUCUGAGUGCCUGGCUAGCUUAUGCCCCCCACCCCAUGCUUUACAUACGGAACUUCUUCAGGAUCCUCGACAGCCGUGCCCUUUCUUACGUCAACGCCUUUGCCUGGAACACCCUAUCCUCCCUUGUUUGUCUGGCAAACUCCUCAUCCUUUAUGUCUCAGCUAAAACAAUACCUCCUCUGUGAGGCUUUUCCUACUUCCCCCAAAGGAACGUAGGGCUCCUUUCCUGCAUUUCAUGCCUCUGCUGCAAUUCAUGUGCACUUCUGUUAAAGCAGAUAUUAAGGACCGGUCACUUCCCUCCCUGGGUUAAAAGCUAUUUGAGGGCACAGGACCUCUCUUCUCACCUUUGGUCUCCCUUAGUACCUAGCGUGGUCCCCAGCACAUCAAAUUAAGGUCCCCAGAGAAUAGAGCUCUUAUCCUGACCUGUGCGCUGGACCAGUGAUGCAGCCCCUCCAGCCCCGUUUCUCCGUUGAUAACAAGCGUUAGGGGGGAAAUCAUCCCUUCCCUUCCCUAGUGAGAGAUAAUGACAAAGAAAGUGAGACACGGGAGUGUUUCAAGUUAAAAAAGAAGAAGUGCUAAUCGAAGUUUUGUGAUAUUCCAGCUGUACCCGCGGUAGACAAUGCUUCCUCUCCAAGUCUCAAUUUUUUCAGCUGGGAAAUGGGUCUAGAGACGAGCUGUACGGAGACAGGAGCUGUGGCCACUUCGCGGCCUAUUGUAUCCCCUGCAUCUACACUGCUCUUGAUUCUCAGGUGAAUCCUCUGAUGCUGGUUGGUGAAGAUCUCGAGGGAGGUUUUUCCACAUUCUUCGGAUUCAUGGUUUCUCUCUAAUGUCCACGCCGAUGUUGGUCUCAUCUUGAGCGAAGGUUUCCGCACAUCACAUUCUAUGUAAUUAAAUUCCUGGACACUGAGUCAGAUGUGCCGUCCAAGCCUCCAGACUCACCCGAGGGCUCUCGCACGGACACAGCAGAUACAGGUUUCUCUCCAGAGACUGAAUUCAUGAAGGGCGGGACCUAGGCACCCCCGCCCCCAUGGAGAGAACAGAAUGGGGGCUGAUGCCCUUGGGGUCUUACCAUGUGGACAUCCUGUUGGAACAUUCUUCACUCCUCCCCAGCAAGGCACACUCUGCUCUGUGAAGAAUCCAGGCAGGAAGUAAAGGAGAUCUCUGCGGCCACAGUGGAAAUGCCCAGACUCUCAGGAACCCCGGAUGGUCAUCCAGUCUGACCACACAUACCAUUCUGUUUUCAUUAUUAGUGUCUGUCCUGACUGCUAGUUCAUGGGCGCCCCCAGGACAGGAGGCAUGUGUGCCCUAGACACCAAUA